ACUAACCCGGCAGUGAGUGAUUUCUGAACCAAUACUCACUACAAGGGGAGCAAUUUGUAGUCUCUGUUGUGCACGCCCGCCCAAGCGGGAAGCCUGAAUAGGCUCAUUCGCCCCCCACUUGAACCCCAGGGUUCAAAAUCAAAGCUGUCGGGCUACUA
rnacentral:other from 1 species